rnacentral:rRNA from 1 species
CGUGGGUAACCUGCCUGUAAGACUGGGAUAACUCCGGGAAACCGGGGCUAAUACCGGAUGGUUGUUUGAACCGCAUGGUUCAGACAUAAAAGGUGGCUUCGGCUACCACUUACAGAUGGACCCGCGGCGCAUUAGCUAGUUGGUGAGGUAACGGCUCACCAAGGCGACGAUGCGUAGCCGACCUGAGAGGGUGAUCGGCCACACUGGGACUGAGACACGGCCCAGACUCCUACGGGAGGCAGCAGUAGGGAAUCUUCCGCAAUGGACGAAAGUCUGACGGAGCAACGCCGCGUGAGUGAUGAAGGUUUUCGGAUCGUAAAGCUCUGUUGUUAGGGAAGAACAAGUGCCGUUCAAAUAGGGCGGCACCUUGACGGUACCUAACCAGAAAGCCACGGCUAACUACGUGCCAGCAGCCGCGGUAAUACGUAGGUGGCAAGCGUUGUCCGGAAUUAUUGGGCGUAAAGGGCUCGCAGGCGGUUUCUUAAGUCUGAUGUGAAAGCCCCCGGCUCAACCGGGGAGGGUCAUUGGAAACUGGGGAACUUGAGUGCAGAAGAGGAGAGUGGAAUUCCACGUGUAGCGGUGAAAUGCGUAGAGAUGUGGAGGAACACCAGUGGCGAAGGCGACUCUCUGGUCUGUAACUGACGCUGAGGAGCGAAAGCGUGGGGAGCGAACAGGAUUAGAUACCCUGGUAGUCCACGCCGUAAACGAUGAGUGCUAAGUGUUAGGGGGUUUCCGCCCCUUAGUGCUGCAGCUAACGCAUUAAGCACUCCGCCUGGGGAGUACGGUCGCAAGACUGAAACUCAAAGG